CCCUUAGAUGUCCUGGGCCGCACGCGCGCUACACUGAAGGGAUCAGCGUGUUUUCCCUUUCCGAGAGGAACGGGUAACCCGCUGAACCCCCUUCGUGGUAGGGAUCGGAGCUUGCAAUUGUUCUCCGUGAACCAGGAAUUCCCAGUAAGCGCAAGUCAUAAGCUUGCGUUGAUUACGUCCCUGCCCUUUGUACACACCGCCCGUCGCUACUACCGAUUGAACGUUUUAGUGAGGUAUUUGGACUGGGCCUUGGGAGGUUUCGGCCUCCCUUGUUGCUCGGAAAGACUCCCAAACUUGAGCGUUUAGAGGAAGUAAAAGUCGUAACA
rnacentral:rRNA from 1 species